UACGUAGGGUGCGAGCGUUGUCCGGAAUUACUGGGCGUAAAGAGCUCGUAGGUGGUUUGUCGCGUUGUUCGUGAAAACUCACAGCUCAACUGUGGGCGUGCGGGCGAUACGGGCAGACUGGAGUACUGCAGGGGAGACUGGAAUUCCUGGUGUAGCGGUGGAAUGCGCAGAUAUCAGGAGGAACACCCGUGGCGAAGGCGGCUCUCUGGGACGGUACUGACGCUGAGACGCGAAAGCGUGGGGAGCGAACAGG
rnacentral:rRNA from 1 species